GUACACCCAUACACACAUACCCCAUUUGAUAAGACUUUCGUAGAGGUUGUGUUGGGUAUUUCCAUGGGUAGUUUCUCAAAUUGUCAAGGGCUCAUACACCCACAUUUGGUAAGGCUUUCGUAGAGGUUGUGUUGGGUAUUUCCAUGGGUAGUUUCUCAAAUAGUCAAGGGCUCAUACACCCACAUUUGAUAAGACUUUUGUAGAGGUUGUUUUGGGUAUUUUCAUGGGUAGUUUCUCAAAUACUCGAAGACUCAUACACCCACAUUAGGUAAGACUUUUGUGGAGAUUGUUUUGAGUACUUCCAUGGGUAGUUUCUCAAAUACUCAAGGGCUCAUACACCCACAUUUGAUCAAACUUUCGUGGAGAUUGCUUUGAGUAUCUCCAUGGGUAGUUUCUUAAAUACUCAAGGGCUCAUACACCCACAUUUAAUAAGACUUUCGUGGAGAUUGUGUUGGGUAUUUCCAUGGGUAGUUUCUUAAAUACUCAAGGACUCAUACACCCACAUUUGAUAAAACUUUC